rnacentral:rRNA from 1 species
CCUACGGGUGGCAGCAGUGAGGAAUAUUGGUCAAUGGCCGUGAGGCUGAACCAGCCAAGUCGCGUGAGGGAAGACGGCCCUAUGGGUUGUAAACCUCUUUUGUCAGGGAGCAAGGUGCAGGUCGGGACAUGCUGUGAGAGUACCUGAAGAAAAAGCAUCGGCUAACUCCGUGCCAGCAGCCGCGGUAAUACGGAGGAUGCGAGCGUUAUCCGGAUUUAUUGGGUUUAAAGGGUGCGCAGGCGGAGGCACAAGCCGACGGUAAAAUCGCGGGGCUCAACCCGGCUCGGCCGUGGAAACUGUGUCCCUUGAGUGCGCGAAGGGUAGGCGGAAUGCGUGGUGUAGCGGUGAAAUGCAUAGAUAUCACGAAGAACUCCGAUCGCGAAGGCAGCCUACGGGAGCGCAACUGACGCUGAUGCACGAAGGCGUGGGUAUCGAACAGGAUUAGAUACCCGAGUAGUC